CAAUAGCGUAUAUUAAAGUUGUUGCGGUUAAAAAGCUCGUAGUUGGAUUUCUGCCGAGGACGACCGGUCCGCCCUCUGGGUGUGUAUCUGGUUUGGCCUGGGCAUCUUCUUGGAGAACGUAGCUGCACUUGACUGUGUGGUGCGGUGUCCAGGACUUUUACUUUGAGGAAAUUAGAGUGUUUCAAGCAGGCACACGCCUUGAAUACAUUAGCAUGGAAUAAUAAGAUAGGACCUCGGUUCUAUUUUGUUGGUUUCUAGAGCUGAGGUAAUGAUUAAUAGGGAUAGUUGGGGGCAUUCGUACUAACGCGUCAGAGGUGGAAUUCUUGGAUUGCGUUAUGACGAACUACUGCGAAAGCAUUUGCCAAGGAUGUUUUCAUUGA
rnacentral:rRNA from 1 species